rfam:Triticum aestivum genome assembly, contig: Triticum_aestivum_CS42_TGACv1_scaffold_031206_1BL
AUAGUACUCCCUCCGUUCGGAAUUACUUGUCUCGAAAAUGGAUGUAUCUAGAACUAAAAUACAUUUAGAUACAUUCAUUUGUACGCAAGUAAUUUCGAAUGGAGGGAGUAGUAU